GACAGAGGCCUCAAGCGUUAGGCGGAAUCACUGGGCUUAAAGCGUGUGUAGGCGGAUCGUUAAGUGUCUUGUGAAAUCCCACGGCUCAACCGUGGAACUGCCGGGCAUACUGGCGAUCUUGAGGCAUUCAGGGGCGAGCGGAACAAGUGGUGGAGCGGUGAAAUGCGUAGAUAUCACUUGGAACGCCAAUGGUGAAAACAGCUCGCUGGGAAUGAUCUGACACUGAGACGCGAAAGCCAGGGGAGCGAACGGG
rnacentral:rRNA from 1 species